ensembl:lncRNA
CUGUGAUGUGCAGCAAAAGGUUGUUGAGCUUCACACAAUGGGGCGUGUCUAUAAGAAAAUAGCACAAGCAUUGAAAACGCCCAUUUCACCAUCAGGGCAAUGAGUAAGAAGUUCCAGUCAACUGGAAAUGUUAUGAAUCGACCUGGAAUUGGACGUGUGUCUAUAUCGUCUCAACACACUGUGAAGAGGACGGUUCGAGUGGAUAAAACAUCUCCAAGGAUCACAGCUGGAGAACUGCAGGAGUUAGUCGUGUCUUGGAGUCAGAAAGUCUCCAAAACUACAAUCUGAAGUCACCGACAUCACCACAAGCUGUUUGGAAGGGGUUCAAGAAAAAAGCCUCUACUCUCAUCCAAAAACAAACUUGAGCGUCUUCAGUGUGCCGACACUACUGGAACUUCAAAUGGGAUCGGGUUCUAUGGUCAGAUGAAACCAGAAUAGAGCUUUUUGGUGAUAAACACAGAGGUGGUUUUGGCACACAGAGAGGUAGCCGUAUGGAAAAGUCCCUCAUGCCCACGGUUAAAUAUGGAGGUGGAUCAUGGCAUCAUGGACUCUCAAAUAUCAACAGAUAUUAAAUGAAUGAAUUGCUUCAUUUUUCUCUCAUUUCACUGGCUACUACGAUGUGUCCU